GUAACAUGUGGGAAUCUGCCUUGUGGUUCAGGACAACAUUGGGAAACCGAUGCUAAUACUGGAUAAGCCCUUACGGGGAAAGUUUUAAUGCCAUAAGAUGAGCCCGCAUUUGAUUAGUUAGUUGGUGAGGUAAUGGCUCACCAAGACAAUGAUCAAUAGCUGAUCUGAGAGGAUGAUCAGCCACACUGGGACUGAGACACGGCCCAGACUCCUACGGGAGGCAGCAGUGGGGAAUCUUGCACAAUGGAGGAAACUCUGAUGCAGCGAUGCCGCGUGAGUGAAGAAGGCCUUUGGGUUGUAAAGCUCUUUUGUAGGGGAAGAUAAUGACUGUACCCUAAGAAUAAGGUCCGGCUAACUUCGUGCCAGCAGCCGCGGUAAUACGAAGGGACCUAGCGUAGUUCGGAAUUACUGGGCGUAAAGCGCGCGUAGGCCGUUGAGUUAGUUAAUUGUGAAAUCCCAAAGCUUAACUUUGGAACUGCAAUUAAAACUGCUCGACUAGAGUUUGAUAGAGGAAAGCGGAAUACAUAGUGUAGAGGUGAAAUUCGUAGAUAUUAUGUAGAACACCAGUUGCGAAGGCGGCUCUCUGGAUCAACACUGACGCUGAGGCG
rnacentral:rRNA from 1 species